rnacentral:rRNA from 1 species
AUUGAACGCUGGCGGCAGGCCUAACACAUGCAAGUCGAACGGUAGCAGGAAGAAGCUUGCUUCUUUGCUGACGAGUGGCGGACGGGUGAGUAAUGUCUGUGAAACUGCCUGAUGGAGGGGGAUAACUACUGGAAACGGUAGCUAAUACCGCAUAACGUCGCAAGACCAAAGAGGGGGACCUUCGGGCCUCUUGCCAUCGGAUGUGCCCAGAUGGGAUUAGCUAGUAGGUGGGGUAACGGCUCACCUAGGCGACGAUCCCUAGCUGGUCUGAGAGGAUGACCAGCCACACUGGAACUGAGACACGGUCCAGACUCCUACGGGAGGCAGCAGUGGGGAAUAUUGCACAAUGGGCGCAAGCCUGAUGCAGCCAUGCCGCGUGUAUGAAGAAGGCCUUCGGGUUGUAAAGUACUUUCAGCGGGGAGGAAGGGAGUAAAGUUAAUACCUUUGCUCAUUGACGUUACCCGCAGAAGAAGCACCGGCUAACUCCGUG